CACCUUCGAACUCGACCUCAGAUCAGGUGGGGCUACCCGCUGAACUUAAGCAUAUCAAUAAGCGGAGGAAAAGAAACUAACAAGGAUUCCCCUAGUAACUGCGAGUGAAGCGGGAAAAGCUCAAAUUUAAAAUCUGGCGGUCUCUGUGGCCGUCCGAGUUGUAAUUUAGAGAAGCGUUUUCCGCGCCGGUCCGUGUACAAGUCUCCUGGAACGGAGCGUCGUAGAGGGUGAGAAUCCCGUCUUUGACACGGACAGCCGGUGCUAUGUGAUACGCUCUCGAAGAGUCGAGUUGUUUGGGAAUGCAGCUCAAAACGGGUGGUGAACUCCAUCUAAAGCUAAAUAUUGGCGAGAGACCGAUAGCGAACAAGUACCGUGAGGGAAAGAUGAAAAGCACUUUGGAAAGAGAGUGAAACAGUACGUGAAAUUGCUGAAAGGGAAACGCUUGAAGUCAGUCGCGUCCGCCGGGACUCAGCCCUCGUGGUGUACUUUCCGGCGGACGGGCCAGCAUCACUUUCGGUCGUCGGAUAAGGGCGGGGGAAAUGUGGCACCCUUCGGGGUGUGUUAUAGUCCCCCGUCGUAUACGUCGGCCGGGAGUGAGGACCGCCUUUGUUGCAGGAUGCUGGCGUAAUGGCUUUAAACGACCCGUCUUGAAACACGGACCAAGGAGUCUAACAUGCCCGCGAGUGUUCGGGUGGCAAACCCGUGCGCGUAAUGAAAG
rnacentral:rRNA from 1 species